rnacentral:rRNA from 1 species
UACGUAGGGUGCGAGCGUUGUCCGGAAUUAUUGGGCGUAAAGAGCUCGUAGGCGGUUUGUCGCGUCGACUGUGAAAACUGGGGGCUUAACUAUCAGCUUGCAGUUGAUACGGGCAGACUUGAGUUCGGUAGGGGAGACUGGAAUUCCUGGUGUAGCGGUGAAAUGCGCAGAUAUCAGGAGGAACACCGGUGGCGAAGGCGGGUCUCUGGGCCGAUACUGACGCUGAGGAGAGAAAGCGUGGGGAGCGAACAGG